rnacentral:lncRNA from 1 species
GUCAUUAUAUCUGCCUUCUGCCCACCACGGUUAUUUACUUGUAUUCCCCUGAAUGUAUGAUGGAUGGAAGUCCUCUGUUCCGCUCACAGGAAACUUCAAUCAUCCAGACUCCAUCUGGAGCCAUCAGAUUUCCAUCUGCAAAAGUCGAAUACGACCUUGGAUGUACAAUUAGAGACGAACUGAUCAAACUGUUCCUCCUACAUGGCCUCGAAAGAUCGCCAUGUCGUAAGACUGCCUCUAGAUAGCCUCUCGUCUCAAGACAAACCAAUGAAUUUCAGAAGUUUCAGGCUCCAUCACAGUUUUUGAGGAUGGUUUCCCCAUUGAGUUCUAUCAGACAUGUUGGGACAUAAUUAAAGAUGACCUGAUGGCAUUGUUUCAUGAGUUUCAUGCUGGGAGACUUGAUCUUAGCAGAAUCAAUUUUGGG